rnacentral:rRNA from 1 species
GAUGAACGCUGGCGGCGUGCCUAAUACAUGCAAGUCGAGCGAACAGACGAGGAGCUUGCUCCUCUGACGUUAGCGGCGGACGGGUGAGUAAAACGUGGAUAACCUACCUAUAAGACUGGGAUAACUUCGGGAAACCGGAGCUAAUACCGGAUAAUAUAUUGAACCGCAUGGUUCAAUAGUGAAAGACGGUUUUGCUGUCACUUAUAGAUGGAUCCGCGCCGCAUUAGCUAGUUGGUAAGGUAACGGCUUACCAAGGCAACGAUGCGUAGCCGACCUGAGAGGGUGAUCAGCCACACUGGAACUGAGACACGGUCCAGACUCCUACGGGAGGCAGCAGUAGGGAAUCUUCCGCAAUGGGCGAAAGCCUGACGGAGCAACGCCGCGUGAGUGAUGAAGGUCUUCGGAUCGUAAAACUCUGUUAUUAGGGAAGAACAAAUGUAUAAGUAACUAUGCACGUCUUGACGGUACCUAAUCAGAAAGCCACGGCUAACUACGUG